rnacentral:rRNA from 1 species
AUUGAACGCUGGCGGCAUGCCUUACACAUGCAAGUCGAACGGCAGCACGGGGCAACCUGGUGGCGAGUGGCGAACGGGUGAGUAAUGCAUCGGAACGUGCCAUUGAGUGGGGGAUAACGUAGCGAAAGUUACGCUAAUACCGCAUAUUCUGUGAGCAGGAAAGCAGGGGAUCGCAAGACCUUGCGCUCUGGGAGCGGCCGAUGUCGGAUUAGCUAGUUGGUGGGGUAAAGGCCUACCAAGGCGACGAUCCGUAGCGGGUCUGAGAGGAUGAUCCGCCACACUGGGACUGAGACACGGCCCAGACUCCUACGGGAGGCAGCAGUGGGGAAUUUUGGACAAUGGGCGGAAGCCUGAUCCAGCCAUGCCGCGUGAGUGAAGAAGGCCUUC